UACACCAUUCAUGUAAAUGCUUGAAAACGACCAAAACUCAUGAGAGAGAGAGAGUAGAGAAGUAGAGAAGGAAACUGUAAAGCUCAGGAGGGAUAGCGCCAUGGCUAACUAGCUAGCUAGCUAACGAGCAUUUCUUCGAGUAUGUCAUAGCGCUAUCCAUCCUGAGUUUCACGGUUCCUUCUACCUACAAGCUUCGUUGUCUUCGUCGUCGUCUGAUCCAAUUUGUUUAAUUGCAGGCUUUUAGUGAUGAUUGUGGGAGUGGCCAUGUUGACAACUUGAGUCCAGACAAGAGAGGAGAGCCCUUUUCCACGUUUCUCGCACUUUCCUUUUCUCUUUCGAUUAAUUUCCCAAAAAUCAAACAAAAAUUAGCCU